rnacentral:rRNA from 1 species
AGAGUUUGAUCCUGGCUCAGGACGAACGUUGGCGGCACGCCUAAUGCAUGCAAGUCGAACGAGAUACCGCCGCUUGCGGUGGUGUCUAGUGGCAGACGGCUGAGUAACACGUGAGUGAUCUGCCUUUGAGAGGGGGAUAACACAGGGAAACCUGUGCUAAUACCGCGUACGCUCUGUUUCAUAAAAGGGACAGAGGAAACGAGAACAGGUAACUGUUCUCGCUCAAAGAUGAGCUCGCGUCCUAUCAGGUAGUUGGUGGGGUAAUUGCCUACCAAGCCUAAGACGGGUAGCUGGUAUGAGAGUACGAUCAGCCAGAGGGGGACUGAGACACGGCCCCCACUCCUACGGGAGGCAGCAGCAGGGAAUUUUCCACAAUGGGCGAAAGCCUGAUGGAGCGAUGCCGCGUGAAGGAUGAAGGCUUUAGGGUCGUAAACUUCUUUUCUCAGGGAAGAGUAAGGACUGUACCUGAGGAAUAAGUCACGGCUAACUACGUGCCAGCAGCCGCGGUAAUACGUAGGUGGCGAACGUUGUCCGGAUUUAUUGGGCGUAAAGGGUCCGUAGGUGGUUUGGUAAGUCUUCUGUGAAAGGUACAGGCUUAACCUGUAGAAGUCAGAAGAUACUGCUAAACUCGAGACUGUCAGAGGAACAUAGAAUUCCCGGUGUAGUGGUGAAAUGCGUAGAUAUCGGGAGGAAUACCAGUGGCGAAGGCGGUGUUCUGGGGCAGUUCUGACACUGAGGGACGAAAGCGUGGGUAGCGAACCGGAUUAGAUACCCGGGUAGUCCACGCCGUAAACGAUGAAUGCUGGGUUUUCGGGGUAUCCAUUCCCUGUAAGCCGAAGCUAACGCGCUAAGCAUUCCGCCUGGGGACUACGGCCGCUAGGCUAAAACUCAAAGGAAUUGACGGGGGCCCGCACAAGCAGCGGAGCGUGUGGUUUAAUUCGAUGGUAAGCGUAGAACCUUACCUGGGCUUGACAUGUAAGUGGUACUGAACCGAAAGGGGAUGGACCCGCAAGGGAGCUUACACAGGUGUUGCAUGGCUGUCGUCAGCUCGUGCCGUGAGGUGUUGGGUUAAGUCCCGCAACGAGCGCAACCCUUAUCGCUAGUUACACUCUCUAGUGAGACUGCUGGUAAAACAGAGGAAGGUGGGGACGACGUCAAGUCAUCAUGACUCUUACGUCCAGGGCUACACACACGCUACAAUGGCCGGUACAGACGGUUGCCAACCCGCGAGGGGGAGCUAAUCCGAUAAAGCCGGUCUCAGUUGGGAUUGCAGGCUGCAACUCGCCUGCAUGAACUUGGAGUUGCUAGUAACCGCAGGUCAGCACACUGCGGUGAAUACGUUCCCGGGCCUUGUACACACCGCCCGUCACGUCAUGGAAGUUGGCAACACUUGAAGUCACUAGGCUAACCCUUUUUGGGGAGCAGGUGCCGAAAGUGGGGCUGAUGACUGGGACGAAGUCGUAACAAGGUAACC